rnacentral:rRNA from 1 species
GCUUAACGCGAAGAACCUUACCUACCUUUGAAUCCACGGAACCUAGCAGAGAUGUUGGGGUGCCUUCGGGAACCGUGAGACAGGUGCUGCAUGGCUGUCGUCAGCUCGUGUCGUGAGAUGUUGGGUUAAGUCCCGUAACGAGCGCAACCCUUGUCCUUAGUUGCCAUCAGGUUAUGCUGGGCACUUUAAGGAGACUGCCGGUGAUAAACCGGAGGAAGGUGGGGAUGACGUCAGGUCCUCAUGGCCCUUACAGGUAGGGCUACACACGUGCUACAAUGGGCAGUACAGAGGGAAGCCAACCCGCGAGGGGGAGCGAAUCUCAUAAAGCUGUUCGUAGUCCGGAUUGGAGUCUGCAACUCGACUCCAUGAAGUUGGAAUCGCUAGUAAUCGCGGAUCAGAAUGCCGCGGUGAAUACGUUCCCGGGUCUUGUACACACCG